rnacentral:lncRNA from 1 species
GGAGUUGCCAGUUUAUUCACAUCUAGGAGGCCAUGCUGAGGAUACUGUUAGUCCCCUUCAAUCUUUCAGGUCCUGAGCAGGUUUAACUGUUAGCAUCACAAUCCCCUGUUGCCCUAAGGACUCCAUUCUGGGCCUAGAGACUCUUAGGGGACUCUAGCUGGCUUUCUGUGGGUAAAUCAGACAGAUGGGUAGAAAAAGAAGUCCACAGUCUAUGAGCUCUCUUUUUGCUGUCAGUCAGCAAUGAAAAUGGAGCCUCACACAUCCCAUCCUUGGCCAUGCCUGAGCUGAAUGAUCUGGGACAGACGCAACUAGACCUUCGGGGCCAUUAACUACACAAGCAUUGGAACCUCUAGCCAUAUAAAGAAGAAAAUAAUUUCUACUCUCUCAGAGAUGUGAAAAAGAUAAAGAUUGUAACAAAAAGUUUUAAAUCCUUUGGAAGCGAACGGGCAUCUUCUCAUAGCUAUUAGUAGUACCUCAAUCCUAGGCUCAAGGGUCCACUUUUUCUGGUUCUUACCAGCCCCUGAUACUCAGCGUUAUCCACUGAGAAUUGGAUAGGCGAG